UACAUAUGUGGCAAGCGUUGUUCGGAAUUACUGGGCAUAAAGAGUUCGUAGGCGGUCUUAUAAGUCGGACGUGAAAUCCCACAGCUUACCUGUGGAAUUGCAUCCGAAACUAUAAGACUGGAGUCCCUGAGAGGAAAGUGGAAUUCCAGGUGUAGCGGUGAAAUGCGUAGAUAUCUGGGAGAACGCCAAUGGCGAAGGCAACUUUCUGGUGGGUGACUGACGCUGAGGAACGAAAGUUAGGGUAUCGAACGGGAUUAGAAACCCCUGUAGU
rnacentral:rRNA from 1 species